GGUUCAUUCUGACGGGAGUCCUUUUCGAUCUUUUAUGCCCCGAACUGAAGAGAUCUCGGAAUUUGACGGUACUCUAGAUUAAUGGCGCUAUGGCCAAGCAGUGGACCUAUUGGUAGAAUUGGGUACAUUUCAGAGGAUAUCCAAGCAACGUAUUGGUCCCCUGCGAAGGUGAAGAUAGUGUAAAAUGGAGUUCUAUCAAUUCUCUAAAGGAGGUUGGCAUACAUAUUUUUGCGCUCUUUGCAAGAGAAAUUGUGGGAUUG